rnacentral:lncRNA from 1 species
AUGUGGGAGGAGCUGCUGUGUGGGGUGUGGCAUCCCCUCCUUCCUGGCCAGGGCCAUACCUGCUGGGCCCGAUGCCUGCCCUCACUGUCCUCCUCUCUUCCUUGUCCCUUACCUCAGCAGGUGAGUCACUGCCCUUGGCCACCUCCAUUCAAGUGCUCAUCAAGUUUGGUGCCAAAGGCCAAGUACCAGCCAGAGGCUUCCACUUUGUCUACCAAGCCAUGCUCUGGACCAGCGCCAUACAGUGCAGCUCUGUGCAGGAACCCUGCUACGGCAAGAGGCUGGGCAGUGACUUCUCCAUGGGCACCGUCAUCUGCUUGGAAUGCAUUUCUGGUUAUGCCCUGCAGGGGUCACAAGAAAUUAAGAGCCUCCCUGUGCCAAGGGCCUUGGUGCAGUGGAAUGUCUGAGCACCCACCAGGACAGCUGGGGCCAGGUGAGGGAAGGCAGUGAGUGGGGGCACUGACAGCCCCUUCUCCUUGGGGGAGGCGGCAGGCCCAGCAGAUGCUUGCAGGCACAUGCAGCCCCUUGCCAGCUGUGUGGUAUAGGGAGGCUGUCCCAUAGUCCUGAGGCUUGGUGUGAGAAAAGCAAGGAGGAGGAGCUGGGGUAUUGGGGCAGGCAUGCCUCGGGUCCUGGUCCCUGAAGCUGGGUAUAGUGGGACUAGUCCUUGGUAAAAGCCAAAGCCAGAACCAGAAGGUGUUCCUGAGUAUACAGAAAGAAAUCAGCACAGAGGAGUCCCAGGCAGAGGCUGGGGGCCCCGAGGGAGAAGUCUGUGUAGGGAGCCCUGGGGUCCAGUGGGAGGAGCCUCUGACCAGAGCUGCAUCCCCUCCCAAUGCCCUGCAGAGGCAACCUCACAGAGCACAAGGGCAUCAUCUUGUCCCCUGGCUUCCCAGAGCCCUCCCUCAACAGUCUCAACUGCGUGUGGAAGAUCAUGGUCCCUGAAGGUGCCAGCAUCCAGGUAGGGGCACGUGGGCACCUCAGGCUGGCAGGUGCUGGUCACUGGCAAGCACUGAGCUAGUCUGGGCCCUGCCCCUGCAGCCUGCACACAGAAACACAGCAGCUAUUCUUCUUGAAGCAUGGAGAGGAACAGGGAGCAAGAGACAGGAGGCCCAUCAAGAUGUGGCCUUGCAAACACACUCUGAUGAUCUUCCAGUCCUUUGCCUUGGCCUUUGUCUCAGCUGCUGACAUUUCAGGACAUGGGCCCCAAAAUGGACUGCAUUUCCAGGCUUCCCAUUCACAUGCAGGUCGGGAACUGCCUGGGAAGGAUGUGAGUGGGUUUUCUGGAGUGACUGCAAUGCUCUGUAGUUUUGACAGGGGUUUGGGUGACACAGGUGCUAACUUGUGUCAACACUCAGAACACGUGCACACUUCCAAUCAUGACAGUGUGAACGCAAUUUGUGUGUUUCAUUGUAUGUAAGUUCCCCUCUGAAGAAAUAAAAAGCCAAUGUAGUUAUCA